AGAGUUUGAUCCUGGCUCAGAAUGAACGCUGGCGGCGUGCUUAACACAUGCAAGUCGUACGAGAACGCUUCAGCUUGCUGAAGCUAGUAAAGUGGCGCACGGGUGAGUAACGCGUGGGUAAUCUACCUUCGAAUUGGGGAUAACGUUGCGAAAGUGACGCUAAUACCGAAUGAUAUCAUAAGGACUUUGGUUCUUUUGAUCAAAGAUGGCCUCUCCUUGGAAGCUAUUGUUUGAAGAUGAGCCCGCGUCCCAUUAGCUUGUUGGUGGGGUAAUGGCCUACCAAGGCAGCGAUGGGUAGCUGGUCUGAGAGGAUGAUCAGCCACACUGGAACUGACACACGGUCCAGACUCCUACGGGAGGCAGCAGUGAGGAAUUUUGCGCAAUGGGGGAAACCCUGACGCAGCAACGCCGCGUGAGUGAUGAAGGCUUUCGGGUCGUAAAGCUCUGUCAAGUGGGAAGAACUCCCGUGAGGUUAAUACCCUCAUGGUUUGACGGUACCACUGAAGGAAGCACCGGCUAACUCCGUGCCAGCAGCCGCGGUAAUACGGGGGGUGCAAGCGUUAUUCGGAUUUACUGGGCGUAAAGCGCGCGUAGGCGGCCGUUUAAGUCAGAUGUGAAAGCCCGGGGCUCAACCCCGGAAGUGCAUUUGAUACUAUUCGGCUUGAGUAUGGGAGAGGGAAGUGGAAUUCCUGGUGUAGAGGUGAAAUUCGUAGAUAUCAGGAGGAACACCGGUGGCGAAGGCGACUU
rnacentral:rRNA from 1 species